rnacentral:rRNA from 1 species
UACGGGGGGGGCAAGCGUUGUUCGGAAUUACUGGGCGUAAAGGGCGCGUAGGCGGCCUUCUAAGUCGGACGUGAAAUCCCUCGGCUUAACCGAGGAACUGCGUCCGAUACUGAAAGGCUUGAAUCCGGGAGAGGGAUGUGGAAUUCCAGGUGUAGCGGUGAAAUGCGUAGAUAUCGGGAGGAACACCUGUGGCGAAAGCGGCUCCCUGGACCACAACUGACGCUGAGGAGCGAAAGCUAGGGGAGCGAACAGG